rnacentral:snoRNA from 1 species
GAGCAAGGACGCCUAUAUAAAUCGUGACGAAACUUGCAUUGAAGGUUGGCAAAAUCAAAAAAGUUUCUGCGAUUCUCCGUGCCCAUCAAAUCUUCUAAUUUUGAAUGCGGCCUCGAACAAAUCGCUACAUU